CAAGCUGGUGUCGUCGAAGCUGCUCAAAUCUAUUCCGAAUUAGUCCGUCUUGGUGCUGACAUGAAAGUUAUUGACAUUGGAGGCGGCCUUGGAAUCGAUUACGACGGGUCAAAAUCCGGUAAUUCUGAUCUCUCUGUUUCUUAUGGCCUUCAGGAAUAUGCUUCAGCUGUUGUUAAUGCUGUUCGGUUUGUCUGUGACCGUAAAUCUAUCAAGCAUCCAAUUAUCUGUAGUGAAAGUGGUAGAGCUAUUGUUUCCCAUCAUUCUAUUUUGAUAUUUGAGGCCAUGUCUGCUACUGCUCCUACUACCCCAGCAAU
rnacentral:lncRNA from 1 species